UAGGGAAUCUUCCACAAUGGACGCAAGUCUGAUGGAGCAACGCCGCGUGAGUGAAGAAGGCUUUCGGGUCGUAAAAACUCUGUUGUUGGAGAAGAAUGGUCGGCAGAGUAACUGUUGCCGGCGUGACGGUAUCCAACCAGAAAGCCACGGCUAACUACGUGCCAGCAGCCGCGGUAAUACGUAGGUGGCAAGCGUUAUCCGGAUUUAUUGGGCGUAAAGCGAGCGCAGGCGGUUUUUUAAGUCUGAUGUGAAAGCCCUCGGCUUAACCGAGGAAGCGCAUCGGAAACUGGGAAACUUGAGUGCAGAAGAGGACAGUGGAACUCCAUGUGUAGCGGUGAAAUGCGUAGAUAUAUGGAAGAACACCAGUGGCGAAGGCGGCUGUCUGGUCUGUAACUGACGCUGAGGCUCGAAAGCAUGGGUAGCGAACAGGAUUAGAUACCCUGGUAGUCCAUGCCGUAAACGAUGAAUGCUAGGUGUUGGAGGGUUUCCGCCCUUCAGUGCCGCAGCUAACGCAUUAAGCAUUCCGCCUGGGGGAGUACGACCGCAAGGUUGAAAC
rnacentral:rRNA from 1 species